rnacentral:rRNA from 1 species
AAAGAUUAAGCCAUGCAUGUCUAAGUAUAAGCAAUUAUACCGCGAAACUGCGAGUGGCUCAUUAUAUAAGUUAUCGUUUAUUUGAUAGUACCUUACUACUUGGAUAACCGUGGUAAUUCUAGAGCUAAUACAUGCUAAAAAUCCCGACUUCGGAAGGGAUGUAUUUAUUAGAUUAAAAACCAAUGCCCUUCGGGGCUCACUGGUGAUUCAUGAUAACUCCUCGAAUCGCAUGGCCUUGUGCCGGCGAUGGUUCAUUCAAAUUUCUUCCCUAUCAAUUUUCGAUGUUUGGGUAUUGGCCAAACAUGGUUG